AUUGCCCUAGUAACGGCGAGUGAAGCGGCAACAGCUCAAAUUUGAAAUCUGGCUCUCGGGCCCGAGUUGUAAUUUGUAGAGGAUACUUUUGAUGCGGUGCCUUCCGAGUUCCCUGGAACGGGACGCCAUAGAGGGUGAGAGCCCCGUCUGGUUGGAUGCCAAAUCUCUGUAAAGUUCCUUCAACGAGUCGAGUAGUUUGGGAAUGCUGCUCUAAAUGGGAGGUAUAUGUCUUCUAAAGCUAAAUACCGGCCAGAGACCGAUAGCGCACAAGUAGAGUGAUCGAAAGAUGAAAAGCACUUUGAAAAGAGAGUUAAAAAGUACGUGAAAUUGUUGAAAGGGAAGCGUUUAUGACCAGACUUGGGCUUGGUUAAUCAUCUGGGGUUCUCCCCAGUGCACUUUUCCAGUCCAGGCCAGCAUCAGUUUUCCCCGGGGGAUAAAGGCGGCGGGAAUGUGGCUCUCUUCGGGGAGUGUUAUAGCCCACCGUGUAAUACCCUGGGGGGGACUGAGGUUCGCGCAUCUGCAAGGAUGCUGGCGUAAUGGUCAUCAACGACCCGUCUUGAAACACGGACCAAGGAGUCGUCUUCGUAUGCGAGUGUUCGGGUGUCAAACCCCUACGCGUAAUGAAAGUGAACGCAGGUGAGAGCUUCGGCGCAUCAUCGACCGAUCCUGAUGUUCUCGGAUGGAUUUGAGUAAGAGCAUACGGGGCCGGACCCGAAAGAAGGUGAACUAUGCCUGUAUAGGGUGAAGCCAGAGGAAACUCUGGUGGAGGCUCGCAGCGGUUCUGACGUGCAAAUCGAUCGUCAAAUAUGGGCAUGGGGGCGAAAGACUAAUCGAACCUUCUAGUAGCUGGUUUCCGCCGAAG
rnacentral:rRNA from 1 species